rnacentral:rRNA from 1 species
UACGAAGGGGGCUAGCGUUGUUCGGAGUUACUGGGCGUAAAGGGCGCGUAGGCGGCGCAUCAAGUCAGGCGUGAAAGCCCUGGGCUCAACCCGGGAAUUGCGCUUGAGACUGGUGUGCUUGAGUACGGGAGAGGAUAGUGGAAUUCCCAGUGUAGAGGUGAAAUUCGUAGAUAUUGGGAAGAACACCGGUGGCGAAGGCGGCUAUCUGGACCGUAACUGACGCUGAGGCGCGGAAAAGCGUGGGGGAGC